CUGGCGGCGUGCCUAACACAUGCAAGUCGAACGGAGAUACGCGCUGAAUGGAUGGAGCUUGCUUUUGAAAUUCUUGUGUAUCUUAGUGGCGGACGGGUGAGUAACGCGUGAGCAACCUGCCUUUGGAUGGGGGAUAACAGCCGGAAACGGCUGCUAAUACCGCAUAAUGCAACGGGAUCGCAUGGUCCUGCUGCCAAAGAUUUAUUGUCCAAAGAUGAGCUCGCGUCUGAUUAGCCAGUUGGCGGGGUAACGGCCCACCAAAGCGACGAUCAGUAGCCGGACUGAGAGGUUGAACGGCCACAUUGGGACUGAGACACGGCCCAGACUCCUACGGGAGGCAGCAGUGGGGAAUAUUGCGCAAUGGGGGGAACCCUGACGCAGCAACGCCGCGUGAUUGAAGAAGGCCUUCGGGUUGUAAAGAUCUUUAAUCGGGGACGAAACAUGACGGUACCCGAGGAAUAAGCUCCGGCUAACUACGUGCCAGCAGCCGCGGUAAUACGUAGGGAGCAAGCGUUAUCCGGAUUUACUGGGUGUAAAGGGCGUGUAGGCGGGCCUGCAAGUCAGAAGUGAAAUCUGGGGGCUUAACCCCCAAACUGCUUUUGAAACUGCGGGUCUUGAGUGAUGGAGAGGCAGGCGGAAAUUCCCAGUGU
rnacentral:rRNA from 1 species